UGUUUAUAUUGGCACGAUUUUCGCAAAUCACUUCAAAUAAUUAAUUAUAGCAAUUUAUUAUUAAAUUUUUACCCCAAAUCAAUUCCCCCAAAAGUUCAGGCAACUAUGUUGUCUGUUUUGGCAGUAAUCGCAGGAGCAAAAUUACGAAAUCAAUUGCAACAAAUGUAAAUCAACCCUUGCUACCAAACUCGAGUGGCAAUUUAAUAGCACAGCAACUGGGUACCUAUCAUGUACUUGAAAAAGAAUUAUUAUAUGGAGUGACUUGAUUGCCAAUACCAAAAUUCACAACGAUUUUUCCUGUUUAUCAGCCUUAGAUAUCACCAAUUACCCUUUUAAAUUCAAGAUUAAAUUUAUUCAGUUCAAAACAACAAAUCUGCAAAACAAAAAAGUGUACUGUACACACGAAAUAAUCUAUGAACUGAAAUCCGCUAAAACCGUACACACAACUAUGUAAUCAUGCAAUUUUCCGCAAAAACCUUUAUCCCGAACAAAUAUGCACAAUUUAAUGUACAAUUUAUCAACAAUCACUGGCGUAAACUAUUUUAUUUUAAUUUUUAAAUCAGAGCAAAAUAAUAAUCAACCGCACUUCUCAAUAUACCUUGACCGUCAUCUCUAUAUGUCCAUUCUACAUUCCAUUUAUCCUUUUUUUAUAAUUUUUUAACUUCUCUAAGGUGAAAAAUUUUUCCAUCCACUUUUCAUAUUUGUUAAAUUAUUCUUGAGUUGAUUUGUUUCCUCAAUCAAUUCAGCAUUUUGUUUUACAAAAUUUUUUCAUUUCUUUUGCAAAUCAAAAAGUUUCAAUUGCAGCGCACAUUCAAACUCAUAAUUGUAUACCAUUAUUAGAUUUGAAUAAUAAAUUCAAAGAAAUAAAUAUUUGCUACCUUACUCAGUUUUUACGGUAGAAAAUUUAGGAACUCUCAGUUUCCAUAAUUCAUUAUUUAGCAAAAGUUUUUAUCCUUUUUUUAAGGAGAGAGAGAUUUAUAAGAUUGGUUCUAAAUGUGUAAUCUUCACUGUUAAAAUGCAAGGAGCAUACCCCAGCAUUUUUCAUAAUUAGUUUUCAUAUUUUCACUUUUGAUGCAAUACACCAUAAUAUAAUUUAAUUUUUAUAAUCAAAAAAAAAAAUUAAAAUGUUUUUUUUUUUCUUCGAAAAAUUUUAAAAUUAAAUUUGCAUUUACAUGUAUGUUUUUUUUAAUUUUCACAAGAGUUCACAAAAACCAAAUCGCAUUACUUAAAAAAAUGUAAACAAUGAAAAUAUGCUCCAGGAUACGUAAGAUUUUUGAAAAAUGGCAUCGGAGAUUUCUUAUUAAGCAUACCUUGUUACCAUGCUGUAACUUAUAAAAAAUAAAGCUGUCCCGAAAAUUUAAAUUUUUCAAAAGUUAUACAAUAAAUAGUUCUGUCUGGGAUAAAACUUGAAAAACUUUAAAAAGAGAAACAAUAGCGAAAUUUUUCGCAAAAAAAAAAAAUAAACCAGAUGAAAAACUUGAAAAUAACUUAAAAACUUUAUAUUUGAUAAACAUAAAGUUUCAAAGUAUGUAUUUAUCAAACAUAUAUUUUUCGUUUAUACAAAAAACUGAAAAUAUUGAUUUUUGAUUAUAAAAGUGUGAAACUUAAAAAAACCGCUUGUGAACCCAUUUUGGUUAUUUUAUUUUUAGCUGAAAAGUUUUGAAAAAAAAAAUUAUUGUUGAUCAAAAAUUUUUUUUUCAAAUAUAAAACUUUCUGACAUAACCAAGAAAAACAUAUGUUUCGAAAGCUGUAAGAUUUUAAAUUUUUAAAACACUAAACUUUACUUACCAAACCUUAAAAAACUUUAAACAUUGAGAAAAUGAGAAUGUCAUCAUUUUUUUUAAAAAAGUAUUAUCCCUAAUCCCAGACGCUUUGCAUGCAAAAACUUUAUAAAGUUUUCAAAGGUUUUUAAAAGCUUUCUCAUACCAGACAAACCUAAUAGGGAUGUUUUACAUGAGCAGCUAAAGACUAUUGGGUACGUUCAGCAAACUAAAGCGCCUUGAUAAAUUGCGACGCUUAGUUGAUUAUCGAUGCAGAGCUCAACUGAACGAUUUGCAGCACUUUAUUUUUGCUUUAAAAAAUAAAACUUUUGCUAUAUUGA